CAGAAUGGAAGAACUCUGUGCCUCCUAGA
rnacentral:piRNA from 1 species